rnacentral:rRNA from 1 species
UGUGUGACUGCGUACCUUUUGUAUAAUGGGUCAGCGACUUAUAUUCUGUAGCAAGGUUAACCGAAUAGGGGAGCCGAAGGGAAACCGAGUCUUAACUGGGCGUUAAGUUGCAGGGUAUAGACCCGAAACCCGGUGAUCUAGCCAUGGGCAGGUUGAAGGUUGGGUAACACUAACUGGAGGACCGAACCGACUAAUGUUGAAAAAUUAGCGGAUGACUUGUGGCUGGGGGUGAAAGGCCAAUCAAACCGGGAGAUAGCUGGUUCUCCCCGAAAGCUAUUUAGGUAGCGCCUCGUGAAUUCAUCUCCGGGGGUAGAGCACUGUUUCGGCAAGGGGGUCAUCCCGACUUACCAACCCGAUGCAAACUGCGAAUACCGGAGAAUGUUAUCACGGGAGACACACGGCGGGUGCUAACGUCCGUCGUGAAGAGGGAAACAACCCAGACCGCCAGCUAAGGUCCCAAAGUCAUGGUUAAGUGGGAAACGAUGUGGGAAGGCCCAGACAGCCAGGAUGUUGGCUUAGAAGCAGCCAUCAUUUAAAGAAAGCGUAAUAGCUCACUGGUCGAGUCGGCCUGCGCG